UACAGAGGUCUCAAGCGUUGUUCGGAUUCAUUGGGCGUAAAGGGUGCGUAGGCGGCGCGGUAAGUCGGGUGUGAAAUCUCGGAGCUUAACUCCGAAACUGCAUUUGAUACUGCCGUGCUUGAGGACUGGAGAGGAGACUGGAAUUUACGGUGUAGCGGUGAAAUGCGUAGAUAUCGUAAGGAAGACCAGUGGCGAAGGCGGAUCUCUGGACAGUUCCUGACGCUGAGGCACGAAGGUCAGGGGAGCAAACGGG
rnacentral:rRNA from 1 species